CAGUAGCCGCGGGAAUACGAGGGGGGCAAGCGUUGUUCGGAAUUAUUGGGCGUAAAGGGUGCGUAGGCGGUUUGACAAGUCUUGUGUGAAAUCUCUGGGCUCAACCCAGAGUCCGCACGGGAAACUGUCGGGCUAGAGGAUGGGAGAGGUGAGUGGAAUUUCCAGUGUAGCGGUGAAAUGCGUAGAUAUCGGAAGGAACACCUGUGGCGAAAGCGGCUCACUGGACAAUAACUGACGCUGAUGCACGAAAGCUAGGGGAGCAAACAGGAUUAGAUACCCCGGUAGUCCCUGUCUCUUAUAC
rnacentral:rRNA from 1 species